rnacentral:rRNA from 1 species
UACGUAGGGACCAAGCGUUGUUCGGAUUUACUGGGCGUAAAGGGCGCGUAGGCGGUGCGGUAAGUCACUUGUGAAAUCUCUGAGCUUAACUCGGAACGGCCAAGUGAUACUGCAGUACUAGAGUGCGGAAGGGGCAAUCGGAAUUCUUGGUGUAGCGGUGAAAUGCGUAGAUAUCAAGAGGAACACCUGAGGUGAAGACGGGUUGCUGGGCCGACACUGACGCUGAUGCGCGAAAGCCAGGGGAGCAAACGGG